CCUACGGGAGGCAGCAGUGAGGAAUAUUGGUCAAUGGGCGCGAGCCUGAACCAGCCAAGUAGCGUGAAGGAUGACUGCCCUACGGGUUGUAAACUUCUUUUAUAAGGGAGUAAAGUGAGGCACGUGUGCCUUUUUGUAUGUACUGUAGGAAGAAGGAUCGGCUAACUCCGUGCCAGCAGCCGCGGUAAUACGGAGGAUCCGAGCGUUAUCCGGAUUUAUUGGGUUUAAAGGGUGCGUAGAGGGAUUGUUAAGUCAGUUGUGAAAGUUGGAGGCUCAACCGUAAAAUUGCCAUUGAUACUGGCUGCCUUGAGUGCAGUAGAGGUAGGCGGAAUGCGUGGUGUAGCGGUGAAAUGCUUAGAUAUCACGCAGAACUCCGAUUGCGAAGGCAGCCUACUGAACUGCAACUGACAUUGAUGCUCGAAAGUGUGGGUAUCAAACAGGAUUAGAUACCCGGGUAGUC
rnacentral:rRNA from 1 species